UGCAUCCCCUUGGGCCGUUAGACUUUGGCAAGUCUGGGGAUGAAGCAAGGCUGCACAUGUUCAUGAGAAGAAAUGACCUUCCCAUCCUGAAUCUCCUUGGUGAUGGUGCAUAUUUUAACCAGUAUCCGGGACGGGGGUCCACAGACGUUGUACCGCUUGAGUAUCCCAUUAGGGGCUGAGGAUGUGAAAACUGGGGCGGUGCAUUCCACGGUGCUGGGCUUGGAGGAUGUGCAAGUGGAAGGCUUGCAUUGGGUGGCACACGGGUUACAGGGAAGC
rnacentral:lncRNA from 1 species